CAGACCUGGGUUCAUGCCAUCUCCCUCCCCGUUACUUGCUGCUGUGAUCUGGCAUGACAUCUCUGCACUGUUUGAUUCCUCUGUUUUAGAUUCAAAGUAAGACUCCUCAGACAUUCUUGCAGCAAGAGAAAUGAAAAAAAAUCAUGUAAUAGAGCCAUGUCAUGCUUUCAGAAACAGAAUUUUUUUCACCCUCAAAGAUUAAGCAUCAACAUGUACAAAGUCCAAUGGAAUCUAUUAGACCCACAGCUGAAACUACCAAGUCGCAGCAGAAUCAACAGGAAAUAAGCAAGGAUGCUGGGAGUGAAAAAAAUGGACUUUUUACUUUGACUUCCUCAGGACUACUGGGAAGUCACAACUUCCUAACAUCUUUUCUACUUCCUCACUCUCCAAGGUGAGUUUUACCCUACUCGUGGAAUGAUUGGCAGGGGAAGAAAGAGGACAAGAAUUUAGGAACCCUGUCCUCGUGUCUUUAUUCCUUCCAGAGGAGCCCCAGUAUUCAACUGCAGCAAUUAAAACCUGCAUUUUAAUUUGGGAGCACAAAAACAACUGGGAACAAUGCUGUGGUAGUUUUCAGGAAGAACCAAGUGAUUCUUACAUUAUGAAGAUGGGCAAUUUCAUAAUGAAGUAAAAACAGAAUAAAGACAAGCACUCAAGUGAUGCCCUUA